rnacentral:lncRNA from 1 species
UGUUGCUCAGGCUGGAGUGCAAUGGCAUGAUCUCGGCUCAUCACAACCUCUGCUUCCUGGGUUCAAGCGAUUCUCCUGCCUCAGCCUCCCGAGUACCUGGGACUACAGGCACUCGCCACCAUGCCCGGCUGAUUUUUGUAUUUUUAAUAGAGAUGGUUUCACUAUGUUGGCCAGGCUGGUCUCGAACUCCUGACCUUGUGAUCUGCCCACCUCAGCCUCGAAAAGUGCUGGGAUUACAGGCGUGAGCCACUGCGCCCAGCCUUGUAUUUUUUUUCAGUUUGGGUAGCUGUCCCUAAUUCAUUUGUUAAAGGAGAAGCAAGAGCAAGAACCUUUAAUCUGUUCUCCUCUUCCCUAAUUUGAAAGUAGCUUGUUAUUUUGAAUAUCACUUUCUCUGAAAUAGCACAUCUCCAUCUCAGAGAAUGGAUUUAAUGUUUGGAUACAGCCAAAAGUCAUUUCAUUACCAAACCAUGGGGUGAAUAUACCAUGUAAAGCAGUUUGGGAUCAGAACUCACAGUCUGAAUUGUAAGUGAUGAGACUGCUGUCUCUCUGCUACAGCUUCUUGGCUGGCUCUGAAGGCUCUUUGAAGGCAGAUCCUAACAAGGGGACUGCUUUGAAGGGCCAUUGUUCAUUUGGAAUGAUAAAGUCUAUGUUGUUCAAAAAACAAAUGCUUGUAGCAGGUAUUUUUUCACUCCAGACUGAGAAUAUUGGUGGGAUAUUGAUAAGGGGUACUGAAUGGUAAUAAACAUGUGCUCUAGCUCUGUGCUAGUCAGCUUAUUUCAGAACUCUAGUUUGAUUCAGUUUCUUGCCUCUGACUCAAAAUGGAGGGAGAGUGAUUUUUACAUAAGAGAACACACCCACAUAUCCUUUUGGCAGCAGCUACCUGCCAGAGAUGUUGAAGAAGAGUAGCCAACCUUUACACAGCAGAUAUUGUGUGCCAGUCAUAGUCCUAAGUAUAAUACCUUACAUGUAUAAACUUCUUAUAAGGUUGGUGCUCUGUACCGAAUUGAAUAGUAUCCCCCAAAAUUCAUGUUGUCCCAGAACCUAUGAAAGUGAUCUUACUUGAGGGAGGGGGGAGGGGGGAGGGAUAGCAUU